rnacentral:rRNA from 1 species
CUCAGGAUAGCUGGAACUUUAUGAAUAGUUUUAUCAGGUAAAGCGAAUGAUUAGAAGCUCUGGGGAUGAAACAUCCUCGACUUAUUCUCAAACUUUAAAUAGGUAAGAUGACUGUAGUACUUAACUGACUAUCAGUCUCUUGAAUAGUAAGUUCUUAGUGGGCCAUUUUGGUAAGCAGAACUGGCGAUGUGGGAUGAACCAAACGUAAAGUUAAAGUGCCUAAAAAUACGUUCAUCAGAUACCACAAAAGGUGUUGAUUCAUCUUGACAGUUGGACAGUGGCCAUGGAAGUCGGAAUCUGCUAAGGAGUGUGUAACAACUCACCAACCGAAUGAAUUAGCCCUGAAAAUGGAUGGCGCUUAAAACGUAUUACUUAUACUUUACCAUUAAAGUAAAUGCUAAACUUUAAUGAGUAGGAGGGCGUAUGGAUAAUUAGAAGAUUGACAGUGAUGUUAAUUGAAUUAUCUUUAGUGUCAGAUCUUGGUGGUAGUAGCAAAUAUUCAAUAGAGAACAUUGAAGACU